UUUUCAGGUGGGAGAAAAGGUAGACGUGGCUAGAGUAUGAGCCGGUCGUGAAGUAAUUGUGGUUUUUGGCAACUCCUUAGUGCUUGGAUAAUAACACUGACAGCCUUCAUGUUCGUGAGAAUCUUGCCGUGAAGAGCUUGUUGCCUUUUCUUCCAUGGAUCUUGUUUUUGCUUGUACUUCAUAUAAAAAUUGCUUUAUCAUUCAUUUGCUAUACUGUUAAUUAAGUUGCUUUUCUAGUAGCC